AAAGUAGAACCAUGUUGUCUUAUUUUCCUCCUUACAUAGAAACUUCUAGAGAACUCUCUACUACAACAACCUCUGCCACAACAACCACUAAGAAAGUAGUUGCCCCUGAUAACAUCAAUUCGGAGCCCAUAACUUUCUCAGCAACCAGUGAAACAGUAUCAGUACCAGGAGCCAAGACCAGUGCACCAGGGAGCCGAGUCUCUGACAGUCAAAUAAGUAAGCAUGAAAAAAUACGGGUAUGUCCCUGAUAUGUACCAAAAUCCAGAACAAGGA
rnacentral:lncRNA from 1 species